rnacentral:rRNA from 1 species
UGGGGAAUAUUGCACGAUGGGGGAAACCCUGAUGCAGCGACGCCGCGUGAGCGAAGAAGGUUUUCGAAUCGUAAAGCUCUGUCCUAUGAGAAGAUAAUGACGGUAUCAUAGGAGGAAGCCCCGGCUAAAUACGUGCCAGCAGCCGCGGUAAUACGUAUGGGGCAAGCGUUGUCCGGAAUUAUUGGGCGUAAAGGGUACGUAGGCGGUCUAUUAAGUCAGGUGUGAAAGCGUGAGGCUUAACCUCAUUAAGCACUUGAAACUGAUAGACUUGAGUGAAGGAGAGGAAAGUGGAAUUCCUAGUGUAGCGGUGAAAUGCGUAGAUAUUAGGAGGAAUACCGGUGGCGAAGGCGACUUUCUGGACUUUUACUGACGCUCAGGUACGAAAGCGUGGGGAGCAAACAGG